rfam:Asian citrus Psyllid, Diaphorina citri - Florida Strain, whole genome shotgun sequence.
GACGAGUCAUUAAAACAUUAUAAAAAUAACAAACCUGGUCAGGUCGGGAACGAAGCAGCCAUAGUUAUAUUUAUAAGUGUUAAAAUUUUUGACUCGUCUAU